GCCAGCAGGAUUCAAACACAGCCCUGGCCAAUCAGCAUCUCCUCAUAGAGAUGAAUUGAAUCAAGGAAUCUCUAUGAGGAAAGUUCAGUGUCUGCAUGCAGAGGGAGGAGACACUGAAUGUUUGGAUGCAUUUUAGGCAGCCAUGACUCAGGAAGGAUCUCUAACAGCUAUAUGAGGAGUGGCCAGUGGAGGUAUACCUAGGCUGCAAUGUAAACACUGCAUUUUCUCUGAAAAUACAGUGUUUACAGCAAAAAUCCUGAAGGUAAUGAUUCUACUCACCACAAC
rnacentral:lncRNA from 1 species